CGGCGAGUGAACAGGGAUAAGCCCAGCACCGAAGCCUGUGGUCGUUUGGCCUCUAGGCAAUGUGGUGUUCAGGUUAGCUCGCGGAGGUGCUGCUCCACCCUAAGUCCUAUAAUGAGUAAGGUUACUCGGACGUGGCCCACAGAGGGUGAAAGGCCCGUGGGGGUGGAGACUCAGAUUGGCCAGUAUCUCCCUGAGUCGACCUUGGAGUCGGGUUGUUUGUGAAUGCAGCCCAAAGUGGGUGGUAAACUCCAUCCAAGGCUAAAUACUAACACGAGUCCGAUAGCGAACAAGUACCGUGAGGGAAAGUUGAAAAGUACUUUGAAGAGAGAGUAAACAGUGCGUGAAACCGCUCAGAGGUAAACGGGUGGAGUUGAACUGCAAGCUCUGGGAAUUCAACCGGUGAGCAUGGCAUGAGCUGGGUAUAUUGGUUGACAGUCUGGGUCUGCUUAGCUGCAGGUCUUCGCCUAUCGGUGGGGAUGCGCGUAUCACUUGUCAAGUGUUGUGCGCCCGGAUUGUAUCGGACCAGCUUGCUGGUGCACUUUCUCAGAGUGGUCACCACGACCGGCGUUUCUGUCUGGCUGUUGUAGUUAAACCGGCCUUGUAGAGUCCUUGUGGCUUUGCUCGGUCGGGAUGGCAGGUAGCCCGUUAUGUACUUCGGUGUGUUUCGGGUGUAAUAGCUGACUGCAUCAGUUCUGUACGGUACGUCGGAGAACGGCGGCUUGUUGUGCGUGCGCGCUCGCUCAGUGUGCUGGCGGUGUUGAGUCUGGUUGCCGUGUUGCUCGUAAAUACAAGCCCGGUGAUGGCUCGGUAUCGUUCGGUAUGCAGUCGUGUGCGUGGCACUUUGAAGGGCCAAUAGUCUGUGGUGUAGUGGUAGACUAUCCACCUGACCCGUCUUGAAACACGGACCAAGGAGAGUAACAUGUGCGCGAGUCAUUGGGCGGUACGAAACCCAAAGGCGCAGUGAAAGUAAAGGUUCGGCUUGUCCGGACUGAGGUGAGAUCCUGUCGUUUCUCACGCAUGGUACUACCAAGCAUCGAGCGGCAGGCGCAUCACCGGCCCGUCCCAUGGCGUAGAAGCGGCCUUGUGCUGGCUCAUCGUCGGGGCGGAGCAUGAGCGUACAUGUUGAGACCCGAAAGAUGGUGAACUAUGCUUGCGCAGGUUGAAGCCAGAGGAAACUCUGGUGGAGGACCGUAGCGAUUCUGACGUGCAAAUCGAUCGUCAAACGUGAGUAUAGGGGCG
rnacentral:rRNA from 1 species